rnacentral:rRNA from 1 species
GACGAACGCUGGCGGCGUGCUUAACACAUGCAAGUCGAACGGAAAGGCCCUGCUUUUGUGGGGUGCUCGAGUGGCGAACGGGUGAGUAACACGUGAGUAACCUGCCCUUGACUUUGGGAUAACUUCAGGAAACUGGGGCUAAUACCGGAUAGGAGCUCCUGCUGCAUGGUGGGGGUUGGAAAGUUUCGGCGGUUGGGGAUGGACUCGCGGCUUAUCAGCUUGUUGGUGGGGUAGUGGCUUACCAAGGCUUUGACGGGUAGCCGGCCUGAGAAGGUGACCGGCCACAUGGGGACUGAGGGACGGACCAGACUCCUACGGGAGGCAGCAGUGGGGAAGAUUGCACAAUGAGCGGAAGCCUGAUGCAGCAACGCCGGGUGCGGGAUGACGGCCUGCUGGUUGUGAACCGCUGUCGCCUAUGACGAAGCGUGAGUGACGGUAAUGGGUGAAGAAGCACCGGCUAACUACGUG